AGACAUCAUUCUUAAUAGCACUUUAUACUAAAUAAUACAAAAAAUUAAUAAUGUUUCGUGUUUCUGGAAAAGAUGGCACUCAAGUUGAUAAAGAUAGUGAGAAAAAAAGAGCGGCAAGAGAACUACAGAAACAACUUUUUUUAUUUGGUGGAGUUGUAAUAACAAUAAGAAUGCUUCCUCGAUUAAUUUCUCUACUACAUUGAAGUUUUCUGAUGACGAAGAACAUUAAAAUUAGAUUUAAUAUUAUAAAUAUAUUUUAACAACUUGUUA